UGCUGAAAAGCCAUGUCUCCUUUUCCUGAUGAACCUCCAAACCUCCAGUGCUACAAGUCAGUGAUGAAAUAACCAUCCUCUGUGUAAAGCUUUUAGUGCUGAAUGUGAAAAAAUUCUCCGGGCUGCCAGCAGGUGGGAUUCAUGAUCAAACAGGAUAUAGCAACUUGCACCUGGAUUGCAAGUGAAGCAGUAAAAUGGCACUUUUGUGGGAAAGCAGCUGACUCAGUCAUGAGAAAAGAAUUUGUUGAAGAAAAGACAACAAGUGCACAUAACUGCUUGAAUUGCCUUGAGGACCAAUAUUCCGAUCUUGAACUGCAUCAGCCCUGUCCCUUGGCUUCGGCUGAUGGAAGACGAGAUGCAUCUCUGUGUUCAUCUACUGCUUUGCAGCUGCCAGGCCUCUUUGUGCUGGGUGCUUUGCAGCUCCCUUCCUGACUCAUGUCAGAGUUACUGUAUAAUAUAUAUCAUAUAUACGGAGUUACUGUAUCAUAACAGAGUUAGCUGUUACUAAGUAUGUAGUGAUAUUUAUCUAAUAUCUG
rnacentral:lncRNA from 1 species